rnacentral:rRNA from 1 species
UACGGAGGGAGCUAGCGUUGUUCGGAAUUACUGGGCGUAAAGCGCACGUAGGCGGCUUUGUAAGUUAGAGGUGAAAGCCUGGGGCUCAACCCCAGAAUUGCCUUUAAGACUGCAUCGCUUGAAUCCAGGAGAGGUGAGUGGAAUUCCGAGUGUAGAGGUGAAAUUCGUAGAUAUUCGGAAGAACACCAGUGGCGAAGGCGGCUUCCUGGCCUAGUACUGACGCUGUGGCGCGAAAGCUAGGGGAGCAAACGGG